UACAGAGGGUGCGAGCGUUUGUUCGGAAUUAUUGGGCGUAAAGGGCGCGUAGGCGGUGCGGUAAGUCACCUGUGAAAUCUCCUGGCUCAACUGGGAGCUUGCAGGCGAAACUGCCGUGCUGGAGUGUGGGAGAGGUGCGUGGAAUUCCUGGUGUAGCGGUGAAAUGCGUAGAUAUCAGGAGGAACACCUGUGGCGAAGGCGGUCUCCUGGGGCAUUCUUGACGCUGAGGCGCGGAAAGCUGGGGGGAGCAAACGGG
rnacentral:rRNA from 1 species